rnacentral:misc_RNA from 1 species
GAUGAAGAACGCAGCGAAAUGCGAUACGUAAUGUGAAUUGCAAAUUCAGUGAAUCAUCGAGUCUUUGAACGCACAUAGCGCCCCCUGGUAUUCCGGGGGGCAUGCCUGUCCGAGCGUCAUUGCUGCCCUCAAGCACGGCUUGUGUGUUGGGCCCCGUCCUCCGAUCCCGGGGGACGGGCCCGAAAGGCAGCGGCGGCACCGCGUCCGGUCCUCGAGCGUAUGGGGCUUUGUCACCCGCUCUGUAGGCCCGGCCGGCGCUUGCCGAUCAACCCAAAUUUUUAUCCAGGUUGACCUCGGAUCAGGUAGGGAUACCCGCUGAACUUAAGCAUAUCAAUAAGCGGAGGA